rnacentral:rRNA from 1 species
AGUGAACGCUGGCGGUAGGCUCAACACAUGCAAGUCGAACGGCAGCACAGUAAGAGCUGUCUCUUACGGGUGGCGAGUGGCGGACGGGUGAGGAAUACAGCGGAAUCUACUUUUUCGUGGGGGAUAACGUAGGGAAACUUACUCUAAUACCGCAUACGACCUACGGGGGAAAGCAGGGGAUCGUCGGACCUUGCGCGAUUGAAUGAGCCGAUGUCGGAUUAGCUAGUUGGCGGGGUAAAGGCCCACCAAGGCGACGAUCCGUAGCUGCUCUGAGAGGAUGGUCAGCCACACUGGAACGGCACCACGGUACAGACACCUACGGGAGGCUGCAGUGGGGAACAGUAGACAAUAGUCGCCAGCAUGAUCCAGCAGUACCGCGUGGGUGCAGAAGGCCUUCGGGUUGUAAAGCCCGUUUGUAGGGAAAUAAAAGCAGCAGGUUAGUACCCGGCGGUUCUGAAGGUACCCAAAGAAAAAGCACCGGCUAACUUCGUG